rnacentral:rRNA from 1 species
GACGAAUGCUGGCGGCGUGCUUAAUACAUGCAAGUCGAACGGAGCCUAGCCGGUAGUUUACUACAGGCGAAAGCUUAGUGGCGGACGGGUGAGUAACGCGUGGGCAAUCUGCCCCUAAGUCCGGGAUAACAGAGCGAAAGUUCUGCUAAGACCGGAUACUCUUCCUUGGUCGCAUGGCGGAGGAAGGAAAGGAUACGCUUAGGGAUGAGCCCGCGUCCCCAUUAGCUAGUUGGUGAGGUAACGGCCCACCAAGGCGACGAUGGGUAGCCGGCCUGAGAGGGUGGACGGCCACACUGGGACUGAGACACGGCCCAGACUCCUACGGGAGGCAGCAGUAGGGAAUUUUCCGCAAUGGGGGAAACCCUGACGGAGCAACGCCGCGUGAGGGAAGAAGGUCUUCGGAUCGUAAACCUUUGUCAUCGAGGACGAUAAUGACGGUACUCGAGGAGGAAGCCCCGGCUAACUACGUG